rnacentral:lncRNA from 1 species
AGAAAAUUUGACUCUGGCUCUUCAGGGCUACCUGCCCUCCCCAUGUCCACACUGUCACUGACCCCCAAAGAAGAAUGAUCCUGGGUUUUGUUUGGUGAUUUUCAUUCUUCCACCUGAAUGACAUCCCCAUGCCCUGGCUGCCUGUGUGGGAUGUGUACCUGAGCCCCCUCUGGGGCAUGUGUAAGUCUCCAGCCUGGAAUUGCGGUGAAGCCGAAAGCUAUUCUGAGAUGUUCUGUACCCUCACAGCUAUUUCAGGCUCUAGGACUUUCUGCCCAUGUCUCAGCCGCAACUUCCAAGACUGGUCCUUUUAUGUUCCUUACAACCUCAGAUCCAAAAUAGCUCCAACCUGGAGGUGGUGACUGGCAGUAGCAUAGAGGGAGCAGAGAUGUUCAUGGGCCCCUGGCCUGGAGCUAGGCCUGGGGUUUGAGACUGAGCUCCAGAGAGGCAGCCGGGGCUCCACCCCACCCACAAACAGGCAGGCUUUGGGGGAGGGGGAUGCCCCAUGUGGAUCAGUAGCAGCUUGCAGAGCUGGCCUGAUUUCUGCCUGCUGAGCUUUCACUUACGUACCUCUUUCAGGGCUGGCAGUCACUGAUUCAUUCCACAAACAGUUUUGAGUGCCUACUGGAUGGCAGCCACUGUUCCAGAUUCUGGAAGAACAACUGGCAAAAAGAGACAAAAAUCCCUGCUCUUGUGGAGCUUACAUGUAACAAAAAUCAUAUAACUAACUUGCAGAGGUCUUUACAGUUUGCAGAGUGUUUCCCCGUACUUUUUUUUUCAUAGAAAAUCCUACUGUAAGCUCUGCUAACACAGCAUGUGCUGUUUUCUACUUGCCUGUUCUCAUUUAAUAUUUCCAGAAAUCCUCUGAGUUACACACUCCUCUAUUUCACUGAGAAGAGGACACAGACUCCAGAAGACCAGCAUAUGUGUGAGGUCCACAUGGUCAGGAAGUGGCAAAGCAGGAAUAUGAACCUAGUGAACGAAAAGUUCUACAAUGUUAUGAAGACCUCCCUUUUCCAAGGAACAAAAAGUUCUACAGUGAGCUAUAAAGACCUUCCCUUUCUAAGGAAUAGCUUACAAUGAGUACAGCUCAAUUGAUCUCACCAAAAACAGCGAUCUGAUCAAGUCAUCAUGCCAUAAGACCUUCAGGGUCUCCAUCCUCUGGUCACAGCAUACUCUCGAGCUCCUCUUCACCUUCUGCUCUACCAGAUACCCACAUGCCGGCAGUGGGUGAGCAGAGGGCCACACUGCCAUUCUCACUGAGAUAGCUGUUUGUUGUGGAGGACUGUCCUAUGCAUAUAUUCCACCAAAAAAAAUGUAUACACACUUCAGGAAAAGAAAAAUGGCAUGAUGUUUUUCUACAGAUAUCAUUGCCUUUGCCUGAGGACCCCUAGAGGAUGUCAUAUAUCACAGAAAGGCCACUACACUGCCAGCCCUUCGAGAAGAAAUUGAAAAUGCACGUGCAGCCAUCUCAAUGACCAAGGUUACCCAAGCAGUGGUUCACCAUACUAAUAAAUGUCUGGAAGCUAAUACCACCACUUUGAGCACCUCUUGUAAUUGUAGAGGCCAAAGGUAACUUGUGUUAAUCUCAC